rnacentral:misc_RNA from 1 species
UUUGAGAAAGCGUAGAAGAAUUGAUCAACUUUGUUUGGGUUGUGGAUAAAAUGGGUUGACCAAGCCUCAUAUAUAGCAUACUGUUAUUAUUAAUACGUCAUAGGGACCAAUCAAGUACAUGGCUAAAUUCAGACAAGACACAAAUAUGGGGCAUUUGGGGAAAAAAAAAAAUUCAAGUUAACUAUCAUCAAAUGCAAUUGAAAAUUUCUCAGGAUUUCCCAGGAAUAAUGACUCACAGAUGAAUUAGUCGAGCAUAUAGAUUCGAGAGGCAAUGUCCUGAACCAACCAAUCAAAU